UAUUAAUCUAAAGAUCUGUAUAGUUUUUGGUGAUGAUUCAAAAUUUUAUUUUUGUAAAAAAAAAAGAUUUUAUUCACAUGUCGCGCCGUAUCUAAGAAACUAUUUAUGAUUAUUGGAUAAAACUUCACACACAAGACGAAGGGCGUAUCAUGCGCUCAUGGCGCAGCUGUUUAUUUUCAAUCGUGAAAAAUCCAGCCUAAGACUUGAAAUUCAAAGGGAUAUUGUAUAUAUAUUUCGCAUCGAUGUUAUUAUAUUUUUGAUUAAUUUUCAUUUUGUUUUAUUUAUUUCUGGUUAUUCAUUCGUUUCUAUGUCGUAUCGCACUUUAUAGUCA
rnacentral:lncRNA from 1 species